AACGAACGCUGGCGGCGUGCCUAACACAUGCAAGUCGAACGCGAAACGUCGGCUUUCGGGCGGCGAGUAGAGUGGCGCACGGGUGAGUAACACGUAGACAACCUGCCUUCGAGCCCGGAAUAACCUUUCGAAAGAAGGGCUAAUACCGGAUAACACUUGGGGCCACAUGGCCUCUGGUUGAAAGGCUUGCUACUCGGAGAGGGGUCUGCGGGACAUUAGCUAGUUGGUGGGGUAACGGCCUACCAAGGCGACGAUGUCUAGCGGGUCUGAGAGGAUGAUCCGCCACACUGGAACUGAGACACGGUCCAGACUCCUACGGGAGGCAGCAGUGGGGAAUUUUGCGCAAUGGGCGAAAGCCUGACGCAGCAACGCCGCGUGUGUGAAGAAGGCCUGCGGGUUGUAAAGCACUUUAGU
rnacentral:rRNA from 1 species